rnacentral:rRNA from 1 species
GUCUUUUUGAUUUUAAUUUAAAGUCUAACCUGCCCAAUGAGUAAUUAAAUGGCCGCAGUAUUUUGACUGUGCAAAGGUAGCAUAAUCAUUAGUUUCUUAAUUAGGGACUGGAAUGAAAGGUUGGACGAGAAAAUAACUGUCUCUUUAUAAAUUGUUUAAAAUUUUAUUUUUAAGUUAAAAAGCUUAAAUAUUUUUAAAAGACGAGAAGACCCUAUAGAGUUUAAUUAUGAUAAAUUUAAAUUAAUUAUUGAAUUUUAAUAAUUUUAAUAUUAAAAUAAUUUAAUUGGGGUGAUUGAGAAAUUUAAUAAACUUUUUUUAUAAAAAAACAUUAAUUUAUGAUUUUUUGAUCCAUUAUUUAUGAUUAAAAGAUUAAAUUACCUUAGGGAUAACAGCGUAAUUCCUUUGAAGAGUUCAAAUCGAUAAAGGAGUUUGCGACCUCGAUGUUGGAUUAAAAUUUAAUUUUGGUGUAGUCGCUAAAAUAUUAGGUCUGUUCGACCUUUAAAAUUUUACAUGAUCUGAGUUUAAACCGGUGUAAGCCAGGUUGGUUUCUAUCUUUAAUUAUAUAUUAUAUUUUAGUACGAAAGGAUUAAAUAUAAUAAAAAUUUUAUUUAAAAUUGAAUAUUAAU